rnacentral:rRNA from 1 species
UACAGAGGUCUCAAGCGUUGUUCGGAUUCAUUGGGCGUAAAGGGUGCGUAGGCGGCGCGGUAAGUCGGGUGUGAAAUCUCGGAGCUUAACUCCGAAACUGCAUUCGAUACUGGCGUGCUUGAGGACUGGAGAGGAGACUGGAAUUUACGGUGUAGCGGUGAAAUGCGUAGAUAUCAGGAGGAACACCGGUGGUGUAGACGGCUUUCUGGACCGUAACUGACGCUGAGACACGAAAGCGUGGGUAGCAAACAGG